rnacentral:rRNA from 1 species
UGCCAGCCGCCGCGGUAAGACGAACCGUACGAACGUUAAUCGGAAUUACUGGGCGUAAAGCGCGCGUAGGCGGUUUAGUAAGUCGGAUGUGAAAGCCCAGGGCUUAACCCUGGAAUUGCAUUCGAUACUGCUUGACUAGAGUAUGGUAGAGGGAAGUGGAAUUUCAAGUGUAGCGGUGAAAUGCGUAGAUAUUUGAAGGAAUAUCUAAAGCGAAGGCAAUUUUCUGGUUUGAACCUGACACUGAGGUGCGAAAGCGUGGGGAGCAAACAGGAUUAGAUA